rnacentral:tRNA from 2 species
CAGAAAAUAUUGUACUUUUAGCAUAUAAAUUUUGGAGAUUUAAAGAGAUAAUUCUUUUCUGA